rnacentral:tRNA from 1 species
CAUUAAGUGGCUGAAAGUAAGCAACGGUCUCUUAAACCGUAAUAUAGUAUUUAACGUAUACUCUUAAUGG